GUACUUUCAGUCGUGAGGAAGGUAGUGUAGUUAAUAGCUGCAUUACUUUGACGUUAGCGACAGAAGAAGCACCGGCUAACUCCGUGCCAGCAGCCGCGGUAAUACGGAGGGUGCGAGCGUUAAUCGGAAUUACUGGGCGUAAAGCGCAUGCAGGUGGUUUGUUUAAGUCAGAUGUGAAAGACCCGGGGCGUCAACCUCGGAAUAGCAUUUGAAACUGGCAGACUAGAGUACUGUAGAGGGGGGUAGGAAUUUCAGGUGUAGCGGUGAAAUGCGUAGAGAUCUGAAGGAAUACCGGUGGCGAAGGCGGCCCCCUCGGACAGAUACUGACACUCAGAUGCGAAAGCGUGGGGAGCCAAACAGGAUUAGAUACCCCUGGUAG
rnacentral:rRNA from 1 species